rnacentral:rRNA from 1 species
AUGGAUCCAAAUUCAACAUAUUUGCUGAAAAUCAAAUUGCUUGGCAACCCAAAAAAAGCUAGGAAGGAUAUCCAAUGCUUUUGUUAUGAUAAGGUUAUUGAUUCCGACUUAACAAAUUAUAAGGACUUGGUUGAAUCAAUCGUAGAGCAGUACUCGCCUCGCUAUUUGGAAGUUGCACAUGUUCAGUACUAUGAUCCUUUUCUUAAAAUCUACCCAGAAGUAACAUCUGACCAGGAAUUGGUGUCUAUGUUUGAGAAACUCUCUAAGACAAAGGUUGUGCACUUGUUUGUUGCAUAUUGUGAUCCAUCUGAACCAUAUGAGCCUAUCACAGAGUGGCAUAUUGAUGUGCAUAUCCAACCUAGCAACACAGAACAAGACGACGAUGAUUAUCUUCGCAACCCAAUACCUGAGAAUGAACAUGUUGGUGUUGAUGAGGAAAAUAUUUAUUUAGACGAUGAUGAUUAUGAUAAAUUAGAUCCUCUUAUCAUAUAG